AACAGAAAAUUUACUUGUUAUUUCAAAUAUUUUUCUUUUUUUCUUUUUUGUUUUUCUUUAAAAGAAGACUAUGAACAUUCUAGAACAAAAUGUGCUCAGGAUGGCUUUCAGCUGCUGUAUUCUUAGCUAAAGCCAAGACCCUUGGAAGUGCAGGUUUGGAUGGCAUUCUUAAAAAGUUUCUUGCUGCUUUUGAAAAAAGAAAUAUAGAUGAGAGAGAAAGAAAGAAGGAAGAAAAAUGUGAAGACUGAGAGAAAAUGUGAUUAAGCUUUUCAAUAGGUAGGACUUUUUUUCUGUGCUUUCUAUAGUUGGGGAACUUAGAUUUGAUCAGUCUGGUGCACUCCUUCCUGGCUUCCAGUUGACAUUUUUUGAGAGGCCUAUGCUACUGAUUUUAUAAAGAUGGAAGGAGGUGGUCCAAUAAGUGAGAAUAUCAUACAAUAAUUAAAUAAUGAGUUGUAGUAGAAGGAGAUAUCUUAUGGCAUGUAUUAUUUUUAUGCAUCUUUCCAGAUACCAGCGCUUCCAGUCUUUUCCUGAGACUCCUUGUGAUUGCUGUCAAAAU
rnacentral:lncRNA from 1 species